UUCGACUUCAGAAAAUUCUUGUACUAUUUCUAGUGAUGCUUUGCUGAAAAUCCAGGUAUAUGAUCCCCCUGUGUGCUAAUUUUACCAAUGAGAGUAGAUAGACAUACAGUGGCUCUCAAAUAUAGUCAUGCCUCAUUCUGUUGUUUGUUUAUAAGUUCAAAAUCAGAUUUUGCCGAUAAGCUUUAAAUUACUAGCUGAGAUUCAUGUUAAUUUACUUUCAAGUGUUUCCAUGUUUUCUUAACUAAAUAUUUGAUAUUGUUGGGUGGGAAGGAAAUAUUGGGUCCCUUGUUG
rnacentral:lncRNA from 1 species